rnacentral:rRNA from 1 species
AUUGAACGCUGGCGGCAUGCCUUACACAUGCAAGUCGAACGGCAGCAUGAUCUAGCUUGCUAGAUUGAUGGCGAGUGCCGAACGGGUGAGUAAUCAAUCGGAACGUGCCCUGUACUGGGGGACAACCAGUCGAAAGAUUAGCUAAUCACGCAUACGAACUGAGGGUGAAAGUGGGGGACCGCAAGGCCUCAUGCUAUAGGAGCGGCCGAUGUCUGAUUAGCUAGUUGGUGAGGUAAAGGCUCACCAAGGCGACGAUCAGUAGCUGGUCUGAGAGGACGAUCAGCCACACUGUGACUGAGACACGGCCCAGACUCCUACGAGAGCACGCAGUGGGUGAUUUUGGACAAUGGGCGAAAGCCUGAUCCAGCAAUGCCGCGUGUGUGAAGAAGGCCUUCGGGUUGUAAAGCACUUUUGUCCGGAAAGAAAUGGCUCUGGUUAAUACCUGGGGUCGAUGACGGUACCGGAAGAAUAAGGACCGGCUAACUACGUG